rnacentral:lncRNA from 1 species
AUAUAUAUAUAUGAGUUUGGUUACUAUACUAUCGAUAAUAUCAAGCCUUGGUACUAUUGAGUUUUCUACCGUUAGAUCUACACUUUGAUUAUUUUCACCCGUUAGAUUAUACUAUUAAACCAACCACCCACUCAACCCUAGGGGACCACUAUUAUCCUAACCACACAUCCUUUCAUCCAACAGCCGAAAACUCAAUAGUACCAAAAGCUUGAUACUAUCAAUAGUAUAGUAGCAUAAUUCUAUAUAUAUAUAUCUAUAUAAUACGAACGUUGCAAAUACAACUUAUGUACUGAUUAACCACUGCAUCUUCUAUAUAAAUAUCUUCCGUGCUUAUUUUAUAUAUAUAUAUAUAUAUAUAUAUAUAGAAUUAGGCUGGAAUUCUAUUAAUAGUAAAACGCUCUUUUUGCUAUCAAGUUUUUAACCCUUGGAUGAAAAAUUGUAGGAUCGGGAUGAUAUUAGUCGUUUAGAGUUGAGUGGUCCCCUUAGGGUUGAGUGGUCCCUACUGGGUUAUAGUAUUUAAUCUAAUGGUUAGAAAUAAUGAAAAGAGUUGAUCCAAAGGCUAAAAAACUGGUAACAACGAUGGGAUUUUGCUACUAAUAUUAAGUUGUUUCUGUAUAACUAUAUAUAAUAAUACAUGCUAUAUUUAUUUACUUACCGAGAUAUAUAUAUAUAUAUUGUGUCUUCUUGUAAAGACGCCAUAUCAGACACCAGAUAUACAACCGCAACACAAUCUAAUGUGACAACAUGCCAUGGGGACUCACUACAACAGAAUUAGGUUAUAGGGACACAUGUUUGGGACAUUUUUGAGUAAGUGUCCCAUUUAUGCUAAAACUUAAAAAAAUAUCUGCUAAUGCCUAAAUAUAAAGCCCAAUCCAACCAAAAAUAAAAGAUUACUCUACUCAACCCACCACACCCAGUUCAUUUGGCCCGAUUACAAACAGAAAAGAAAAAAAAAAAGAAAAAUCAAUUACCAUCUUUUCUUCUCUCUUCACUCAAUCCACUGAAAUUCUAGACGAAGAGCCUUUCCUGUCGUCCUCCUCCGCCACCGCAGCCAACGAGAUAAAAUUUCGGCGGUUGCUAAAUGCUUAAAUAAGUGUUCGUAAAUUAGCAGCACUCUUUUAGGUUAUAGCGACACUCUUUAACUGUCAAUAUAUACCUAGCGACCCCACAUAUAGUAACACUUUUUAAAAGUGUCGGUAAUUUUAGCUAGCAGCACUUUUUUGACAUGUACCUAUAUUUAAAAGUAUCGCUAUAGACCGUUUUUGUUGUAGUGACUUUUGAGAGAAGUCCCAACUCAACACGGCAUUAGCUAGUCUUACCUAUAAAUGCAAAAAACUAACAUGAUAGAUAUAUGGCGCAGUAAAGAAAAAGGUUAAAAUAUUUUGAACAUAAGUAUACCAAGUUGGAGACACUUAGACACAAACCUGUUAAUUAAUUGAGAAAAAUAACAUGACUGUCGAAGAUGAAUGCUGCAAAUAUGUUUGUUUUUGCACCAAGUAAUCACUCAAUUGAUCUGCCAAUGAUUAGAAAUUAUGAACUCACAAAUGACUUCUUAUAAGAGCUCCUUUAUUCAUGUGAAAACUUUUGAAUACUACAAGGUAUAUAAUCAAACACUAAUCUUACAAUUAAUGACAAGAAAUGUUCAACAAACAAUUAAUUAAAUUCAAUGAAUAUAUCAUUGCUUUUACAAGUUAUAAAUCAUUUCCUGUUAUUACUAUCUUAAGUUGUCAUAUCUAAUUAAUGGAUCUACUGCUUCUGAGUUUGAUGAAGUUGUAAUUUAUGUCUGAUGGUUAAAACCGCAUCUGCACGUGAGUUAAACAGCGGGAAUUAAAAAAAAAAUUUAGCGGUUUGCUUUUAGCAUCUUUAGCUAUUGUUAUUAUUGUUUGUAUUCGAGUAAAAGCAACAAUUUGCGCGCUUUAUCUUCAUGAUCUAUGUUCAAGUGCACUAAACAAGUACAAAAUAUUCUAUCAGCGACAAGCUAUUAUUUAGUUACUCCAAAAAAAAAAGCUCAAAACCACUAAUAUAAUACUAAUUAAGCCUGGUAACACCAACCGUCCCUAGUGCAAGUGGCAAAAAGCUUGGUUGUUGGUACCCGAGGUCCCAAGUUCGAAUUCUAGUUGAUUCACAUUUCUAGUUAAGCUUAUUUCUAAUGAAAUAAACGAAGCGGAUAACAUGUUACCUAUCUCUUAAAAAAAAAAAAAAUUAAGCCUGCUAACACUUAGCUUGAGAAUCAAUUUCUCAGACCAAAUGUUAAUCAAAUCUCCACUUGCUUUUAGCGCUUCGAGCUACAAAAAGGCAAAAAGUUCAAAAGAGAAUAUUCAUGUUUUAAUCAAUUGACUAAUUAUAACAAAACAGAUCCUUUACUAUUGAUGAUAUGUGCUAUAUAUAGCCAUAUCUUGCAUGAUGCAUCAAUCAUUCAAAACAUAUAGUUUAUGUUAAACAACUGUUGUAUUCUAACAACUUAAGCUUUUAGAGUAUGUCAGUUAUUUAACAAAAUAUCAGAACAAGAGAUCCUAAGUCCGAAUCACGCCAGACUCCUAAAUUACUAAUUUUUCCCAUUUAAUUCAAAUCCACGUCAUGAACCUUGUAAAAAGUCUCGAGCCCAUACAUGAGGAGGAGAGUGUUAAAUAUAAAAAUAUAUAAAUACUGUUCUCUAACGGCUUUAGCUUUUAGAGUACGGUGGUUGCUUGACAGUUUAUGAGCUUUAUCUGAAAAGAAGUUGUAGAUUGCUUUAUAAUGAUAGUCUAUGCAAGAAGUAUUGAUUGCCUUCAUUCUAAUUGAGGAUUAGCUAGGGCAAAGUGAUGAAACAUGAAACAGGUCAUUAGGUUGCGUUAUUUGGAAAAGAUCAUAUACUAGAAAAACGUCGCCUUUCGAUACAUUCUUGUUACCAUUUAGAAAGUAGGAAACUUAAUUACAGUACAGCAACAAUUCGCUUCCUCUUUAUACUUUUGUAUCUUGUGGAGUUGCAUUACCAUUUAGAGACUGUUUGAAUUUAAAGUUUGUUUGGUUAGUGAUCAUGUAAUUUGAUUUAUUCAAAUUUUUCAGAAACAAAGUAUGCAGAUGCAUACGUUGCUAAAUUUGUUUGAUUUGAUCAAAAGCAGUCGAUUGAUCUUACUUAUUCAUUUCAUUUAUGCACAAUAGAUCCAAAGAGAAAAUUUGAAAUUAUAACAGAAACUGAAAAAUGCAAGUAAAGAAGAAUGUUUCAUCUAAAAUUUUGUAGUACUAAUCCCUCUCGGAGUUUCUUUCUCACCAUACGAAUGGUACUGAUAUCGCAUCCUUAGAGUAAGAAAAGGAGAAAAACUAUGACUAGUAUGUGUACAAAUAGAGUGGUUCAACUACAAACACCACCAUGUUGGCAGGGAAAAAAAAAAAAGAAAAGAACAAGAACAAGAACAAGAAAAAGAAAAUGGUGCUUGAUUAUGGUCAAUCGUGCCAACAAAGAAGCAUCACGACGCAGCGUCGUAUAAUGUAUAGUUUGGCUCUUUGCUCCCUUAGAGCUCUGCUGAGCCCUCCUUUUUGCUUCUCCUGGCUAUGUAGCUUCAUUGUCAUGGCGUAAUUAGCUUGAAUAGUUGUAAAGUGGAGAGGAGAAAAUAGUGUGUUGAGAAACAAUAAGUGAGAGAGAGAGAAGUAGAGGGUACUCUUUGCUAGCAAUUGUAGUUGGAUUGAAUAGUUUGAGGGGAUUCACAUAUGGAUUUUAUAGAGAGAUCAGAGAAAAUGGGGGGAAAUUAAGGGAGUGGUCCAACACCUAGAGGGCUUGUUAAUUAAGAGGUGCUUUCACACAAGUGUAGUAUCUUGAUUGUUACUUAGGAGACAAGGCUCUGAAUUCAUGUAUAUUGUUUUAUCUUUCUUGCUUCUUUUGCCUAUAAUUGUUUUGUUUUCUUUAAGCUAUAGAAAUUGUGGCCUUAAGCAAGCAUCAAAUUCAGGUAUAUUUGUCUCUCCUGCCUCUUUCACUGUACUGAGAAGUACUUCCUCGCCGAUCGAUUGCUUGAAGAAAACAAUGUUGAUAAAAUAUUACUUGUCGGAUCGUUAGCGCUAAUCAUUAAUCCCAAAAGCUCGAGCUGUAGAAAUACGUAACCAAUUCACUUAAAACGUACAGAUACAGCGCCCACAGGUCUCGAUUAUGACUGGGUCCAACCAGCCUCAUGCCACUUCGAACAUGACUCAACUCACCCUCACGCUAUUUCGAACAUAACUCAGCCCAACAUAGCCUUUCGCCAUAAAGCAAAAUGCUAACUCAUUUAAGCCAGCAAUCCCCUCUCUAGCAUCUGCACACAUUUGCAGUAUUGGGGAAUCGAACUCGCGAUUUCUGGCUCUGAUACCACUUGUCGAAUCGUUAGCGCUAACCAUUAAUUCCAAAAGCACGUGCCGUUAGAAAUAUAAAACCAAUUCACUUAAAACAUACAGAUACAGCGCUCACGAGUCUCGAUUGUGACUCGACCUAACAGGCCUCACGUCACUUCGAACAUGACUCGGCCCAACAUGACCUUCCGCCACAGGACAAGAUGCUGACUUAUUUAAGCCAACAUUAGGUACGUACGCACGCAUUUUCUUUUUUCUCUCAGUUGGCACAUGCAACCUAUCCUAUCAUGGCGCUCGCAACGAGAGCUUUACUAGAGCAAGUGACAGGUUUUGUUUGCCUAUCGAGGCAGUCGCACUCAUCGUCACAUAAAAAAGAAAAUCGACUGGCCUCUUGUGUGAAUGAAAAGCUAAAUUCGACUAUAUUAUGUCGAGAUCCGAGCGUGCACUAGAAUAUUUUUGCGAGCUAACUGUUCUUGAUCACUGAUCAGUCUCUUGUAUCUGUCCUUCGACUGCACGGAAAAUGCUUUUUUUUGUUCCCCUCCUAAUAUUCAAUAACAAGUUGCAUGGAGCAUGUCUCCUGAUCAGAGUAUAUAUACUUGUUUAUUAAUUCCUAGAAUGGCUUUUCAUAUAUAUACUGUUGUAGUACAUGGCUUGACAAUUCUUUACUCACAAAUCCAUGCCAUUUGUAGCAUUAAUUUUUUAAUUAAAUCCCUACUUUCUUUGCCUCCUUUCACAUUCAAUUCUCUUCACCACCUUCCUGUGGACACAAAGUUUCUAUGCCUAGGAUGCUUAAAACAAUCAUGAUUUUCAUUUGUACCUAAUUUUGUUAGUUUCUUUACUUGCCCUCUCCUUCAUGGUCUCUGUUUGUUCAGUUCUUGUCAUGUUGAAAUAACAAUGACAUGCAAAUACCAAAAUAAAGGAAUAUUUUAUGUAAUUUUAAGCAAAUGCUGUCGCUGUUCGACACAAAUUUUUGCUGCAUUUGAAACAGUUGGCAAGCUAUAUAGUGUUCAAUGCUGCAGCAUUUUUUUUUCUCAUUUCUUGCUUAAAAAUAUCCUAAUAAAAGAACAUUAGAUAGAUAUAAAAUAUUGAAGUACAUCUCCUAAGUUUUUGAAAUUACGGAAGCCUCCGUACUUAUAAGUUAUUUUUUAUGAUGGGAUAUCUAAUUCGAUGAUCAACUCUAUUGUGAAUGAUCUAUACUAUUAGAACUAUUUAGAAAUUAAAUUUCAUAAUUUUUCGACAUCAUUUAGCAAGUAAUCAAUAAGUCUAAAAAAUGACUAUUUUAAUGGCCGAUGUGGCACGUUUGUAAGUUCAACGAUAUAGAACAAUUCAAAUUACAUAAAACUUUGGCUAAAUUACAUAAAAACCCAGUCAAAACCUGAUUUUUCACUUUUCCCCCCUGUCAUUUAAAAACCUACACUUUGUCCCCUUAUAAAAUGAAAAAUGUUCACGGGGUUGUACGAUGUGAACAGUGAUGACAAAAUGACCAUUUUGCCCCUCACCAUUUUCGUCUCCUCCCUCAUCUUGCUCAUCCGCCGCCUCGAUCGGCCGCAGUUCGCGCCUCAAUCGACCGCAGUGCCUUUCCAUUUUCUUCUUCACCUACUUCCCUUCUCCUCCUACACCUUCGUCGCCCCUCCAUUUCAGCGACAGUAGGGAGGAAAUCGAGGUGGGCGUGGAGGGAGAGGUGGGCAAGGGCAACGAGGGCGAAGGCGAGGCGGUGGAGGAGAGCGAGGGGGUGUUUGUGGGUGCGGACGGAGAUGUAGGCGAGGGCGAGACAGUGGAGGAGGGCGAGGCGGCAAGGCGGAGGAGGGUUAAGCAUCAGUAGAGAGGGUGGAGGGUAUUUUUGACAUAAAAAAAUAUUUUAUAACGGAACCCUAACGGAUCACUAACGGUAGGGGAUAAAGUGAAUUUUUUUCAUUUUACAGGGGGGCAAAGUGUAGGUUUUUAAAUGACAGGAGAAAAAACUGAAAAAUUAAAUUUUUACAGGGGGGUUUUCUGUAAUUUAGCCUAAAACUUUAAUAGAAAAUUUUACUUAAUAUUAAGAGUAAAAUCAAUAAUUCCGGUUUGAAAUUUAAAUUUUUUAUUACUAUUUUUUGUAAGAUUUUUAUUUUCAGCCGUUUAUUUUGAGACUACAAGCUUACUAUGCAAACAAAGCUAAAAAAUUGUGAAAUUUGGAUUCUAAAUAGUUCUAAUAAUAUGGAUUAUGCCUAAUAGAGCCAAUCGUUGAAUCAGAUGUCCUAUUAUCAAAAACAACUUAUAAGUAUGGAGACCUCCGUACUUUCGAAAGUACAGGAGUCUAGCUCUAAACUAUUGUUACUCUUAUCAAUCUGGGACUCCUCUAUAUACUAUUCCCGUUAUGCUUCUAAUUUCAAUCAUAUAAAUAUAUAUAAAAAGUUAGGCUGGUAUAUUAUCGAUAACACAGAGGCCUUUAUACUACCAAAUUAUUUUCAAUGAUGUAGCUUCCAACUCGAUGAUCGACUCCAUUAGACUUGAUCUAUAUUAUUGAAAGUAUUUGGAAACAAAAUUUCAUAAUUUUCGAUAUCAUUUACCUAUCAAACGAGUAGUCUAAAAAUGAAAAGCUGAAAAUAAAAAUCUCAUAAAAAAUGAUGAUAAAAGACUUGAAUUUAAGAUCAGGGGUACUGAUCUUACUCUAAAUAGUGAAAGAAUUUUCUAUAAAAAUUUUAUCAGAUUUGAAUUAUUUUACACCGUUAAAUUCACAAACGCAUCACAUAUACCAUUAAAAUUGUCAAUUUUGAGACCUUUUGAUCACUAGUCAAAUGAUGUCGAAAAAUUAUGAAAUUUAAUUUUCAAAUACUUUUAAUAGUGUAAAUACAAGUCUAAGGGAGUCGAUCGUCGAUUUGGAAGCCGCAUCAUUAAAAACAACUUAGCAGUACGGAGGCCUCCGUGCUACCAAUAGUAUACCAGCCUAGCUCUAUAUAUAUAUUUAUAUAUAUAUAUAUAUAUAGAGAGAGAGAGAGAGAGAGAGAUCUAGAGAGAGAGAGAGAGGGAAAGAGAGAGGAUUGCUAUGCUCUUAGGAGCAUGGAGGUCUCAGUGCUUCUGAGCUGUUUUCGAUGAUAGAAUCUUGGAAUCGACAAACGGCUCCGUUAGACUUGAUCUAGCAUAUUUCGGAGUAAGGAUAUCUGAAAUUCCACAGUAUGAGAUACUUACUUUGCCCAUUAUACGAUGGCAAAAGAAUCUUUUUUUUCUUUUUCUUCAACGUAUACUUUAUAGAACAAGCAUCCGUGUGAAGGGUGAUUUUCGCCCUAAGUUAGAACCCAGUGUUAUGACUCUCGCUCAUCAUACAUAAUUAAUAGAAUCUUUCAAUAAUUAGCAGUACUCUGGGUUACUCUGGGUUUGGGAUUUAAGUUUAAAUCUUUGGUGACUAAAAUCAACAUUUGUUGAAUUAAAGAUCCCAAUUAAAGUGGUUAUGGAAAGUUUUCAACUUUUAUAGUAUUUAUGAGAAUGUUUUAGUCAUUAUAGUACGAAUGGAUAGAUUUAUAUAUGUAAGAAAGUUUAAAUGGGAAUAAACAUUUGAGGCAAUUUGUAACAUUAACAAAGUAACCUAAUUUUUAAUUUAAUGGCUGAGAUGGGAACUGGGAAUUUUCCACAACUUCCUAUAUCACUCUUUUAUAUAUAAGUUGGGGGAGUUUUGAUAUCCGACAAAACUUCUUCUAGUUGUUAGUUAUCUACUUUAUAACCUCUUUUUUUUUCUUUCUUUUAUAUAAGACUUAAAUAAUUACACUGAUCUUUGAUUUUUCGUAACACCCCUAGAUUCUUUUCGAUUCUUCUAAAAGCCUCCGGUUUUCAUAUUCGAAACGAAGUCGAAGAAGUAGAAACCGCAGACGACGUUGUUUUUAGAUAUAAUCUUCUACAACUACUUCGUUGACUAUGGACUAUUCGUAGAGAUAGGUUUUUCAUGAAAGAGUGUCUGUUCGGUUAGUUCUUAUUAAUAUAUAAAUUAUUACUUUCUAAAUACUUACGGACUACGUACCAUCCUACUAAUUAAGGGAGGUUAAUUGUUACUUAAUAAUAGUAACAUUUUAGUAAAGAAUUAAAUCCUUUCUUUAUAACAUCGAUUUUUCAACCACCACAGUGCAACGUACCGUAACAUGGUAUCUAAGAGGUGACGGAUUUUGCACUGUUUGAUAUACGUACGAAAAAAAAAAAAAGAUUAAUUUCAUUAAGUAAUUACACAGUAGUGUGUACGCGGAUUAAUAUUGGAGUUUUAUUAGGAGAGAAACUGUUAGUAAAAAAAAAUUAAUCAAUAUAGGUAAACGUAAUUAGUCGACAAACUAAUAGAUGUAACAUUCGAUAUUAUAUCCAUGUUAACAUGUGUUCGAGCUUUUUCAGAUAAAUUAAUGGAUAUCACAUCCUGAAUCUAUGUUAUUAACCUAAAUAUAUCUAUUUCCGAACUAACAACGUAAAGCAGGAUAUAGCUUUAAUCUACAUUUAGUAUUAAAUCGUCGACCUCUCUCAUUGAGAUGAGCUAUUUAUUAAUUAAUGAAUAGAAAGCGGAGUAGUCCUUUUCUUUUCUCUUUUCAAACGAAGAAACUCCAAUUAGAGUGGUAGAGCAUAAAUUUUAUCUUUCUACAUGCUUAUAACGAAAGUUAACGUUCAUUGGUUUUGAAUUUUAGGCAUCAGCGUUGUAAGAGUUAAUUUAUCAUGGCACGCUCAAUUUACGUUUACAAUAUUGAUGUAGGCUGGUUUGUUUUGUGGUCAAAAUAAAUUCUCGAAAAAACCUACGAACUUGUACGCCAAAUCAUAGUACACCGAAUUGGCUGGCAGGGAUCUCGUUCACCGUUUUCCAAACCACCAACCAUGGGCUCUGGAUUCAAGCUUAGGAUCAACUAAGUGUAAAGGUCGAUUUAAAUAAAGAUUUACUUUAUUUGCUUCGCCCAUCGCAUGCACGAUGAAUAGAGAGAGAGUUUUUUUUUCAUAGUACACCGAAUCAAAUGAGUUCCUAGUACGUUGUUAACUGUCUACUUAUCAUAUGAAUCUAUAUACAACGAAGAUUUAAUAAUAAGACUUUUUUCUUUUUGAUUAGUAUUCACGGAAAUCUCUGAAACUAGGUUCAAGAUCAUAAGUUUGUAAGUUUAUCAAAGAUUUUCUUUGACUAGAUAUUUCACACCUCUCACUAACCAGAAUAUGGUUUCUUAAGAAUUUAAUUUUCACAAUGCUGCUCACGUGUUUGUUUUUGCUUUCUGCCGUUUGCACUUUAUUUGUUUCAUGUUCGUCUUUUAUUUUAUUUGUGUUUCUAAAUGCACUUUUUAAGAAAAGUCCUUUUUUUAAUACCUACUUUCUCCUCUCUUAAAAUGAUACUUUUUUUUUCAUAUUACAAUACUUCUAAUGUUAUGCGAUGUAGUCUGGUUCCAGAGGCGAUGGGUGGUGUCUGUAGAUAAAAAGAAGGUGUUAAGUAAAGGGUUUUUAAGAUAGCGUGAUGCUUUAACAGUUAUUUAGUACCCGGGUUUUAGUUUCAACUAUUAGUUUAAAGCUCCGUGGAGAUUAAACGUUGGUGAAUGAGUUAAUCACUCCGACCAUACUAAGGCCUUCGUGUUUUGGGAGGUAUGAAGAUUCACGUACCAAAAGCUACAACUCUAAAAGCUUAGUUGUUAAACGAGACAAUCUGAACUAGUUCACAUAAACUUAAUGGACUUUUUAUUUAAAACACUAAAAAGCUAUAGUAAACGGAUUACUAGCUUCCCCGAGUUUUAAUUAUUAAAAUUACCGGCACCACUCGGCAAACGUUCAAAUUGCCACAUUUUUAUAAGUUUAGUACAUUUUAAAACUAUCUUUUAAAAAAUAUGAUAUAUUUUGUUCUAGUUAUAGAAACUAGAUUUUAAAAUUAUAAUAUAGUAGUGUAAAACAUUCUAAAAAUAAAAAUCGGCAACUAAAACUGGGGGAAGCUAGUAAUCCGUUUACUAUAACUUUUAGUUUUUUUAAUAAAAGAUAGUUUUAUUAGAUCUAAUUCAAAUUGUCUCGGUGGCUAGCAGCUAAACUUUCAGGGUUAUAGCUUUUACUGAACCUUCGUGCCUCCCGAGGCACGAAGGUCUUCGUAUGGUUGGCAUUAGAGAGAGAGAGAGAGAGAGAGAGAGAGAGAGAGAGAGAGAGAGAGAUAUAUAUAUAUAUAUAUAUAUAUAUAUAUAUAUCUCUCUCUCUCUCUCUCUCUCCCCCCUUUCUCUCUCGCGUUCCGACGACACGAGAAUCUUCGUGUCUUCUGAGGCGGGAAGCACGAGGACUCGGUAAAAGUUACUACUUUAAAAGCUUAAUUGCUAGCCGAGGCAAUUUAAACUAGAUCGCAUAAACUUCAAACCCUAUUAACGGAUAUAUGGGCAGUAUACAAACUUUUAUAGGUUAAAUGGGGAUAAAAAAAAAAGAAAGAUUUUAUGGGGAAUAUACAAGGUGGCAAUCACGUUUUAUGAGGGCGUCAAUAGAGGACAAUUCAAUUGAACCCAAUUUGCACUCAAUUUGUAGAUGGCGUCAAUUUUUUUUAAUUUUACGGUUAAAACGGGAAUUGAAUUCCCGUUUAUUCUUUACAACCACUGUCAUCUCCCCAUAUAUAACCUUUUCUGGUUUUCAAUUUCAUUAAAAACAUGGGGACCGAAAUUCCCGAUUAUUCUUUCAGUCACUACCACCUUCCCAUAUAAACUUUCCCGUUUUAUCAUUAAAAUGUCUCAAUUAUCUCAAUUAAUUGUUUAAAAUUAUAUAAUCUUUAUCCAACCUUGCAUUUCUCCCAUAAAAGUUAUAAUCGUAAGAUUCUCCCCAUUUAACCUUUCAGCCUUUGAAAAGUGCCCAUAUAUUCGUUAACGGGGAAUUUCAAAGAUCUUUUAUUAAAAACACUAAAAAGCUAUAAUAAAUGGAUCACUAGUUUUCCCAAGUUUUAGUUAUCAAAAAUUAUUAACUACAGACGGCAAAGUUCAAAUUGCCCCAUCUUCAUAAAUUUAGUCUAUUUUAAAACUAUGUUUUAAGAAAUAUAAUAGAUGUUGUCGUAGUUAUUGAAACUAGCUUUUAAAAUUACAAUAUAGUGUUGAAAAAUAUCUUAAAAAUAAAAAUCGGCAACUACAAUUUAGGAAGACUAACGAUUCAUUUAUUAUAGUUUUUUGACAUUUUUAAUAAAAGAUCUUUGAAGNGCUAGUUUAACGGUGUAAAAGAAUCGAAAUUUGUUGAAUUUUUGAUAGAAAAUUCUAUUCACUACAUAGAUAAAGAUCAAUAACUCCGAUCUUGAAUUGAAGAAUCCGAUUAUCCUUUUUUAGGACGUCGUUCGAUUUUGACCAUUCAUUUUAUGCCCACUUGAUGGAUUUAAUUAUGAUUUCGAAAAUUUACGAAAUUUAUUUUCUAGAAGUUUCAAAUACUCUAGAUCAUAUUUAACGGAGUGGAUUGUCGAUUCGGAAGCUCCAUCAUUAAAAAUAACUUAUGAGUACGAUGGCUCCAAUACUCAUAAUAGUAUAGUAGCCAUGGCCUAUAUAUAUAUAUAUAUCACACACACACACACACACACACACACACACACACACACACACACACACACACACGAAGGUUGCAAAUACAACUUAUAUAUAUCAC